CUUCAAAACCUUCCUAAGGUAGCACAUUCCUGAUUUGCCCUCCUUAAGACAACUAACUCUCCAAAGAGGAGAUGAAGGAGAUGCCUGAGAGAAGAUAGGAGUAUUACAGCGUGCCAGGAAAGUCCAGGCUCUGGCAGAAGAAGGAGAAAAGCCCUGUCAGAAGGUAGGAAGGCUCCCAGGGCUGAUGUGGGGAAUCACAGGAAGCCCAUCCAGCAAUGUGAGUCCUUUGGAGACUAGAGAUCAGCUUCUUCAGUCAGAUUUGCACUGAUUUUCACUGUAAACCUAAAAACAGCAUUUGGUAGCUGAUACUCAUGAUCUUGUCUGCAAGAUAUACAGGGAACUGAGGACCUGAAAUGCUGAAGUUCUUGGAAGUGGUGACAGACACACACGUUAAACAGCCUGGUUGGGUUUUAUCCCUGCUUGGGACCUUUGUCCAGGAUUGCUCUAUUGCUUCCA